rnacentral:rRNA from 1 species
GACGAACGCUGGCGGCGUGCUUAACACAUGCGAGUCGAACGGAAAGGCCCUGCUUUUGUGGGGUGCUCGAGUGGCGAACGGGUGAGUAACACGUGAGUAACCUGCCCUUGACUUUGGGAUAACUUCAGGAAACUGGGGCUAAUACCGGAUAGGAGCUCCUGCUGCAUGGUGGGGGUUGGAAAGUUUCGGCGGUUGGGGAUGGACUCGCGGCUUAUCAGCUUGUUGGUGGGGUAGUGGCUUACCAAGGCUUUGACGGGUAGCCGGCCUGAGAGGGUGACCGGCCACAUUGGGACUGAGAUACGGCCCAGAAUCCUACGGGAGGCAGCAGUGGGGAAUAUUGCACAAUGGGCGGAAGCCUGAUGCAGAAACGCCGCGUGCGGGAUGACGGCCUUCGGGUUGUAAACCGCUUUCGCCUGUGACGAAGCGUGAGUGACGGUAAUGGGUAAAGAAGCACCGGCUAACUACGUG